UCAGAAAAACGAGGUGACUUCACAGCUGACGGUCUCAUCGGCAACUCAGCCGACCCUAAUAAACGUCGCCGUGACUUGCCUUCGCAGUUUGCAUUCACACGCCGCUCCCCAAUUUUUCGCUUCGCUUCGCUUCCGUUCGUCGAUCAGAUCUCCCCCGCUUCGACGCGCUCGUCUCCGUCGAAAUAGGCAUGGAUCUCUGCAAGAUCAAAGUCGCCAACCCCAUCGUAGAGAUGGAUGGAGAUGAGAUGACGCGUGUAAUUUGGAGACUAAUCAAAGAAAAGCUUGUUUUCCCAUUUCUCGAGUUGGAUAUAAAGUACUUUGACUUAGGCCUUCCAAAUCGUGAUGCUACAAAUGAUAGAGUUACAAUAGAAAGUGCAGAAGCUACUCUAAAAUAUAAUGUGGCAAUAAAAUGUGCAACUAUUACUCCAGAUGAAACUCGUGUUAAGGAGUUCAACUUGAAAGCAAUGUGGAAAAGUCCAAAUGGAACCAUUAGAAACAUUUUGAAUGGGACUGUAUUUAGAGAGCCGAUUAUAUGCAGAAAUAUACCAAGGCUUGUGUCAGGGUGGUCAAAGCCCAUAUGCAUUGGAAGGCAUGCUUUUGGUGAUCAAUACCGAGCCACAGACACAGUUAUUAAAGGACCUGGCAAACUGAAAUUGAUAUUUGAGGGAAAAGAGGAGCAAAUUGAGCUAGAAGUGUUUAAGUUCACAGGUGCUGGUGGGGUGGCACUGUCUAUGUAUAAUACUGAUGAGUCAAUUCGUGCUUUCGCUGAGGCUUCAAUGAACACAGCUUACCAGAAAAGGUGGCCACUUUACCUUAGCACUAAGAACACAAUUCUCAAAAAGUAUGAUGGAAGGUUUAAGGACAUAUUUCAAGAGGUGUAUGAGGCUCAAUGGAAAUCUAAGUUUGAGGCUGCUGAAAUAUGGUAUGAACAUCGCUUGAUAGAUGAUAUGGUUGCUUAUGCUCUUAAGAGUGAUGGGGGUUAUGUAUGGGCUUGUAAGAACUAUGAUGGAGAUGUGCAAAGUGAUUUCUUGGCUCAAGGUUUCGGGUCCCUGGGAUUGAUGACGUCAGUGCUGAUGUGCCCAGAUGGCAAAACUAUUGAGGCUGAAGCUGCACAUGGCACUGUUACUCGUCACUAUCGGGUACACCAGAAAGGGGGAGAAACCAGCACAAACAGCAUUGCUUCAAUUUAUGCAUGGACACGAGGGCUUGCUCACAGGGCAAAGCUAGAUAAUAAUGCUGCAUUGCUCGAUUUCACACAAAAACUUGAGACCUCUUGCAUUGGAGUUGUUGAAUCUGGGAAAAUGACUAAAGAUCUUGCUCUUCUUGUUCAUGGACCCAAGGUUACUCGAGAUAUGUAUUUGAACACGCAAGAGUUUAUUGAUGCAGUUGCAACAGAGCUCAGAGGAAGACUUUGUAGCAAAUCAAAGUUGUAAACCCAUUCUUUGCCAUCUGAGAUUAGACAAAAAUAACUUAGUUGCACUUUCCAUUGAUUCAGGAAAAAUUUAUGUUGCAGUUGCAGGCCCGAAUAAAUUGAUACCGGAUGUGCCUCACUAUCACGCUAAAGCAAUAACGUGCAGUUUAAUAUGCAAGUGAACAAAAUGAAUAUUCGCUAUUAACCUGGUUCAAGGACGUCUGAUGGUAAUCUUUAUGUUGUAUAAACUUGAGUGUUGCACUCACGUGGCUGCGGUUCGAAGUUUGUUUUUGGUCAUGCCACUCUGGAAAAAGAACUUUAAUGGUGAUCUUUAUGUUAUAUAAUUAGAGUGUUGGGCUCAUCUGAUUGUGGUGCCAAGUCUUUUGGUCAUGUAAACUGCAUCUGCAACACAAUUAGUCUUGCAAUCACAAAUUGCACCUUAUAGGUCUAAA